AGCCGCCGGGAGCACCCAGAGGGACGGGAGGCAGCCGCGCAGCCCCGAGCUGGGCAGUGUCCCCAGCCGCCAUGGAUAGCGACGACGAGAUGGUGGAGGAGGCGGUGGAAGGUUAUUACCCCAAGAAAAAGCCAGUAGAAUAACUACUGCCUUCAUUUUCACCCACCUCUGCAAAAUCAGCUCACCAGAAUGAUUGGGAAGACACCAAUAAGGGCACCUGGACGAUGACGGAUUACCGCACGGGUUCUGCACAGUCACCUACUCCUCCACAGACAGAUUUGAGGGGAACUUUGUUCACGGAGAAAAGAACGGACGGGGGAAGUUCUUCUUCUUUGAUGGCAGCACCCUGGAGGGGUAUUAUGUGGAUGAUGCCUUGCAGGGCCAGGGAGUUUACACUUACGAAGAUGGGGGAGUUCUCCAGGGCACGUAUGUAGACGGAGAGCUGAACGGUCCAGCCCAGGAAUAUGACACAGAUGGGAGACUGAUCUUCAAGGGGCAGUAUAAAGAUAACAUUCGUCAUGGAGUGUGCUGGAUAUAUUACCCAGUAAGCCGUGUGACUGUUCACUCUGCUGGAAAGUAACAUACUGUGACUCUUCACAAUGAAGAGUAAAAUGUAUUCUGUGUUAGAACUUGGGAGCUGUGAAACCUGAGAGUCACCACAGCUGACACCAAGAGUUUAUGAGGCAUGCCCUCUCACUGUUACUCACUAUUGGCUUAGAUUGUUGGCCCUUGAAUCCGUUAUUAAUUAUUUUUCAGCGUUGUUUUGGAAAGGAGUAAUUAAUCAUGAUUAAAACAAAUUGAGACAAAUUGGUUUUAUUGUAUCACUAAUAAAGGCAAAAUAUAUUGCUUUUAAUUCUUUUGGCACAUAGAGGGAGAUAGUGGAAAUUUUCAUUGUUGCUAUUAGUUUUAUUUCCUGUUUCUCAUAUGUAAAAACCAGUCCAGCAAUUUUUAAUUUGGGAGAGCUUACUGCACUGUUGUUACUUGAUUCUACAAUUCCACUAACUGCUUUUUAAGGUAUUUUAUGGUUUAUAUUGUUUAAAUUAAGGUGAUUAAAAUUAACUUACCUUUGAGUAUUUGAUAGCAUUUUAUGAUAUUUCUGGAGUCUAUUAAAGUAAAAAGAUAUGGCA
rnacentral:lncRNA from 1 species